rnacentral:rRNA from 1 species
GACGAACGCUGGCGGCGUGCUUAACACAUGCAAGUCGAGCGGAGCGGCGAACGGGUGAGUAACGCGUGAGUAACUGCCCCCCUCUCUGGGAUAACAGUUUGAAACGGCUGCUACUACCGGAUAGUGGGGGAUGACUCGCGUCCGAUCAGCUUGUUGGUGGGGUAGUGGCCUACCAAGGCGACGACGGGUAGCUUGGAUGAGAGGGCGACCGGCAACAUUGUGCUGAGAUACGGCCCAAACUCCUACGGGAGGCAGCAGUGGGGAAUAUUGCACAAUGGGGGAAACCCUAAUGCAGCAACGCCGCGGGCGGGAUGACGGCCUUCGGGUUGUAAACCGCUUUCAGCCAUGACGCGGUAGUGGCAGAAGAAGCACCGGCUAACUACGUGCCAGCAGCCGCGGUAAUUC